CUUGGGUUUCAUUCCAAUUAAUUAUCUGCUUCCAUCCCGCCGCUCGCGCUGCCUCGCGUCCCAAAAGACCAAAAAAUAGGAAAAGUUAUUUAAAACACGAAUGAAAAGCAAAAAUGAAAGGGGCAGCAGAGCAGCUUCAAUAAUCAAUUCUCAGACCAACUCUUUUCAGAUAAGAACCUUUCUCUUCCAUUCCACCCCAGUCGUAGAACGAAGAAGACGAGCAAAUAGGGAAUAUGUAAGCCACCCGCCCAUUUCUUUAUACGUGUAUGCAUGUGCAUAGUGCGUAUUUGUUAUUAGAUGGAUUUAAUUGCUUCUGAAAAUGGGCUAUACAUGGUUAUUAAAUUUGUAAAGAUUUGAGCUUUUGAUGAAAAGGAGACCCACCUAUGAUUUUGCUAUGUUUUCUUGAACAUGAAUUUUUGUAUUAAAUGGAUUUUAUGUAAUGUGAAAUGGGCUGUAGAUGGUUAUUAUUAGCAUAAAUUUUGAAAGACUUGAGCUUUAUAUUGAAACAAUUAUGUUAUUUGCAAUGUCUCUUGAAACUGAAUCCCUGUAUAUUAAAUGGAUUUUAUGGUAUAGGAAAAUGGACUGUCAGUGUUGAUUACAUUGGCAUUUGGCUUAAAUUUUUAAAGAUUUGAGCAUUUGAUGAGCACGAGUCCAAUGUAUGUUAGUUGCAAUUUUUUUGGGUAUAAUAUGGAUUUUAUGGUAUACAAAAAUGAGCUGUUGAUGGUUAUUAUGAAUACAUUUGUGAAGAUUUGAGCUUUUUGAAGGAAACCUGCCCCACCUGUAUUAAUUGCAAUGUUUUCUUGGAGCUGAAUGAAAUCCGUUAUUUUGUUUUUUGGUUCAAUUACUAUAUUGUGGUCUGAGGAUUCACUGUGCGAUGAACCACUAUAUCUUCAUGUUCUUUUUCUAUGAAAUUGAAUUGGGUUUUUUCCCAAGUUGUAUUGAAAAUGCAUAUUUCCUUCCAAGCAAAGUGGAUUUGUUGCAAAGUUGAAUGAAGUCUGUUUCUUUGAUGUGCAGAUAGGCACUUUUUGGGGUUCAUCAAAGGUCAGUCUCUCUCUCUCCCCCCCCCUUUUUUCCUUCUUGAAGUUAUUGUUUAACCCCUCAAAUAACUAUUAAUUUAACCUCACGCAGUUGCCUUAUUAACCUUGAAAAAGCAGCAGAAUUAUGUUGAUAAUGUGCAUGACUAGGAAUUAUCUAUUAUAUUUGUAUCCAACUAUCCCCAUAGAGGAAAUUAUUUGAACUCCCUGUUGAAGUUUUGGAGUUUUCCGUGUUUGUUGAGGAUAGAGUGUUCUUGAUCUGAAGUAAUUUUUCCGAAGAUGAUUAUCCUUAGAUGUCAAUAGAAGUCUAAAGAGAAUAAGAAUUGUUUACCUCAUUGUGACUAUAGUGAGAUAUAGUAAAGUUGGGGAAAAAGGAUCAUGGAGAACACAGAAGGGAAGAGAACUAGAAAUUGUAGUAAGAUGUAAAUGAAGAUCAUAUUGGCUAUUUUGGAACUUGUGUUUCUUAGUUCUUGUUGUUUCCUUUCAGUAAAAUAAAACGCUAUAUCAUACAAAUAAAUUAAAUUAGCCAAUCAGGAACAUAAAUGUGUGCAUGUUUGACAAUGGCUUAUUUCUUAUUGAUGAACAAUAAACCUUAUAUUGCAUGUAGAAAUUUAACGGGUAUUCCAAAUGGCCGAGGAAACAGAUGCUGCAUGAUGUCAGUAAUUUUGCGGAGCACCUAUUUUGGGUACGUUUGUCUGAUCAAAAUUUUGUAUUUUGUUCUCAUCAUUUAAUUUCUUUGCUAUGUAGAGAUCGGGGGUGGAGAAUAUUGUUUGGAAGUUAGAUUUGUUACGUAAUACUUGAAAUUCUUUCUCGUCCCUCCUCUACUUUACUUCCCUCUUCAAUAUCAUGUUCACCCCUCCAUUAGGGCUCUUAAGAGGAAAAAUCAUGAGACUGCUGCCUGUCAUUCUUUGGUGGAAAGGAUGGGGUGGGGGAUGUAUUGUUGAUUCCAUUUUUCCCCAAUAUUCGGCUUCCUCAACUCAACUAACAGAUUGUUAAUUGGUUUCCUUAAAAAAAAUUUGUUAGUCCAUAUGAUCAUGGUUAUUGUCCUUGAGCUACUUCAAGUCAUUCUGACUUUGGGGUCUAAUUCCUGAUAACCUUCAUUUAACUAUUGUAGAGGUGGCAGUCCAGCGCUGAUGAUUACUACUGGCUACUGCCAUCAAUCUUCAAGCCAAGACAGUUCAUGGUUCAGACCAUAUUUUGGGGAUGACGGAUACAAAAGGGGCAAGUCAGGAAAUAGAAGAUCUGGGACAUGGAAAAGUAAGUUGGCUUAUAUAAUUAAACACCAAACACGUGUUAGUUAAUUCUCAUUUUCUCUUUUAUAUGUUUGAGAUAUCCAUAAAAGGUAUAUUUGUAAAGCUUCUUUUGAUAUUUUCAAAUAUGUUGAAUGAUGACACAGAACAUGCAGUUAAAAACUAGGGAAAUAUUAUAUGUGACAAGAUUUGAAGCAAAUUAUAUUGAGUUUAUGCUUUUAAUCCUUUUUGUUUCUCCUCUUCUGGCAUUUUUUGGAGACAGUAGUUUAUGCAAUUGACCAAGCUGAUAUAUUACACUCAUCUGAUAACUAGAUUACUGGUGCAUAUAGUUCUCUUUACUCUGACAAUCUCUUUAGUCCUUGUGAUCUGUUUUCUGCAUCUGAUGUAGUUAACAAAUUUAAUCUUUUUUCAACAGAUUUUAAUUUCUGUGAAGAUCGGAAUAUGAGACUAUUUGUCGUUCUGCAUUCUGUGGAAGUCCGUACUUUGGUUGGUCCUUCAUAACUGACGAUGACCCAAGAUAUUGGAACUGUUGGAAUGAGGAAUCGAAAAUAUCCAGAAAUUAAAAAAAAAAAAUUAAUUCAAUAAAAAAGAUCGUCUAGGUGUUCACAUGUACAUUAUAUUAAAAAUGAAGAAUUCGAUUUUUUUUUACCUAUAUUCGAUGAUCAAUUCUUGAAUUAAUUUUGAAUCACGAACUUCCAGCUUUUUAAUUUCAAUAACUUGAUGCUUCAAACCUCCAAAUCUUUUAUGGUAUUAUCCAAAAUCAAGAUCACACUGGUGGGUAGGCACCUUCUUUUAAUUAAAUUAAAAAACUAAUUCUUAAACUGGACAAUUGAAAAAAUCAAGAAAAAUAAUUUUUCUCUCUUGUUUCUGUGUCCAAAAUUUGAACACCAUGUAAUUAUAUAUUAUGAAUGUUGUAUAAUUUCAUAAGAUGUUAGAAAUAGAAAAGUUUCAAUCCUUAUGCAAUAAUAAUUCCACAUUCAAAUAAGAGUUCUAAUUAAAAUCUAAGUAAGAGUUUUAAUUAUAAUCCAAAUCCAAUUAGUUUACACUUAAUUAUAUGUGUGGUCCUAGAACUUUAAUUACAAUUAUAAUUAAAUUUACAACUUUCAUAGUAAUUACAACUAAGUAUAAAAUUUUAUUGUAAUUACAAUUAAGUCAAACUAUUAUAAUUACCAUAAUUAUGUUUCAAUACUUUAUGGAGCUACCAUAGAGACCUAAUCGGACAUAUAUUAUCCAAGUUUCAAUAAUUAGAUCUUGUCUAGUCGACCCUAGACUAUGAAUUCAUGUUCUCUACUCCACUCAUUCUCAAGUUUCCAACUCAUCGAGAUAUAUGACCAAUCAAAUUAAUCUCACUCGUUGAUGAAUCAAAGAACUAUUAAAAUCAUGAAAAAAUAUACAUAAUCCUGUCAAGGGAUUUACAUGAAAUACACAGCGGUCUAGUGAAAUUUAAUUCUCCGCACGGUCAUGCUAUAGAAUUAAAUUCGACACAUGGUUCGUUCAAUACACUCCAAGCUUACUAGUGUCAUCUUUAAUUAUUUCUGUGAUAAGAACAAAUAACAAACCUGAAUAGUGAAUCGGUCAAUACUACAACCUUCUAAUACAAGGUGCCAACCCUUAUACAUUUGUUGUGAACAAAUUACUUAUGAUCAAAAUAUAAGUUAUGUCACACUGUACUUCUCAACCCAAGUAACCAUAUUAUAUUUUUCAAGUGAUUAUAGACACUUUAAUUUGCAUGCUUAAUAAUAAAAAUGCAAUAAGUAAGUAAAACCACAACUUAUAAUUAUUUUAUCAUAGCAAAAUAUACUAUAUGGGCACACAACCCAACAGGAACAAAUCAUCAGGUUACUCUUAACAAAUAUAGAACUUCAAACAGUCGGAGAUAUCAACAUGAGGAGGAUUGGAGGAAUAUGAUUCAUAAUAUGACGAGGACUUUGAUUCAAAUUCGGAGUUUGAGAAGUCAGAGGUUGAUAUGAUGUCUCAGAGGUUAUCCUCGAGAUUGAGUACCUCAGGCCCUUUAAAUCUCGAAGAUGUCAAAAAUGCGUAAGAUCUCCAGAGUUUCCUUUAUUUUAAAUUUCUGUUCACUUGGGGUUUGAGAGAAUAGAGUUCUCUUUAAUUUAUUAGGCUGACAAAUGAUAAAUUUUCAUUUCCAGAUAUCGGGCAUGUGCAUUAAAAUGGCAUCCAGAUCGCCACCAGGGUUCUUCCAAUUUAUUUCCUUUAGUUUCCCUUUUCUCAGCACCGAGGACCUGUUGUCUUAGGCUUCUUUUGUUGAGAAUGCCUUUUUCUAUUUAUAAUUUGUUGUGACUAGAAAGUUUGGUAGUAAUAGCAUUGUACUUGAAAAAAAAAGGUUUUCUUGUCAUUUGAUCGAGAUUAGUAACUUUCUUGCUCUACAGUUUCAGCAACAAGCUUCUUUCUCUAAAGUUAUUUUAGUAGGGUCGAGCUUAUAAGUUGUACAUUCGCGAACAUGAUAUUUUUCACAUGCAACCUCUAUUUGUUGCAAUAACAAGAUGCUGCCUUGGACAGGUUGUUGCUGAAGAGAAAUUUAAGGUUUGCAGUGCAGCAAAUCAAUCUUUAUGCGGCUAGUUGGCUCUAAAUUAGAACACACUGAUGAUCAACUGUAUCUGGUGAAUAUCUUUUAGUACAAGACUUGUUAGAUUACAUGUACACCAUUUGAAGUAGCUCUGUGUACUAUUACUAGUUUUAUUUGUUUUCAAGAUCAAUAGCUAUGGUAGUUUGUAGUUGUGCAG
rnacentral:lncRNA from 1 species